CUAAUACAUGCAAGUCGAGCGGACAGAUGGGAGCUUGCUCCCUGAUGUUAGCGGCGGACGGGUGAGUAACACGUGGGUAACCUGCCUGUAAGACUGGGAUAACUCCGGGAAACCGGGGCUAAUACCGGAUGGUUGUUUGAACCGCAUGGUUCAAACAUAAAAGGUGGCUUCGGCUACCACUUACAGAUGGACCCGCGGCGCAUUAGCUAGUUGGUGAGGUAACGGCUCACCAAGGCAACGAUGCGUAGCCGACCUGAGAGGGUGAUCGGCCACACUGGGACUGAGACACGGCCCAGACUCCUACGGGAGGCAGCAGUAGGGAAUCUUCCGCAAUGGACGAAAGUCUGACGGAGCAACGCCGCGUGAGUGAUGAAGGUUUUCGGAUCGUAAAGCUCUGUUGUUAGGGAAGAACAAGUACCGUUCGAAUAGGGCGGUACCUUGACGGUACCUAACCAGAAAGCCACGGCUAACUACGUGCCAGCAGCCGCGGUAAUACGUAGGUGGCAAGCGUUGUCCGGAAUUAUUGGGCGUAAAGGGCUCGCAGGCGGUUUCUUAAGUCUGAUGUGAAAGCCCCCGGCUCAACCGGGGAGGGUCAUUGGAAACUGGGGAACUUGAGUGCAGAAGAGGAGAGUGGAAUUCCACGUGUAGCGGUGAAAUGCGUAGAGAUGUGGAGGAACACCAGUGGCGAAGGCGACUCUCUGGUCUGUAACUGACGCUGAGGAGCGAAAGCGUGGGGAGCGAACAGGAUUAGAUAC
rnacentral:rRNA from 1 species